rnacentral:rRNA from 1 species
GAUGAACGCUGGCGGCGUGCCUAAUACAUGCAAGUCGAGCGAACAGAUGAGGAGCUUGCUCCUCUGACGUUAGCGGCGGACGGGUGAGUAACACGUGGAUAACCUACCUAUAAGACUGGGAUAACUUCGGGAAACCGGAGCUAAUACCGGAUAAUAUAUUGAACCGCAUGGUUCAAUAGUGAAAGACGGUUUUGCUGUCACUUAUAGAUGGAUCCGCGCCGGAUUAGCUAGUUGGUAAGGUAACGGCUUACCAAGGCAACGAUGCGUAGCCGACCUGAGAGGGUGAUCGGCCACACUGGAACUGAGACACGGUCCAGACUCCUACGGGAGGCAGCAGUAGGGAAUCUUCCGCAAUGGGCGAAAGCCUGACGGAGCAACGCCGCGUGAGUGAUGAAGGUCUUCGGAUCGUAAAACUCUGUUAUUAGGGAAGAACAAAUGUGUAAGUAACUAUGCACGUCUUGACGGUACCUAAUCAGAAAGCCACGGCUAACUACGUG